UAUUUUAAUAGCUUAUUUAGAGUAUGAUAUUGAAGCUAUCAAGGAGACCUUUGGUUUUAAAA
rnacentral:tRNA from 1 species